UACGGAGGGUGCAAGCGUUAUCCGGAUUUAUUGGGUUUAAAGGGUGCGUAGGCUGAUUAUUAAGUCAGUGGUGAAAGCCUACAGCUUAACUGUAGAACUGCCAUUGAUACUGAUAAUCUUGAGUCUGGUUGAGGUAAGCGGAAUGCGGCAUGUAGCGGUGAAAUGCAUAGAUAUGCCGCAGAACACCAAUUGCGAAGGCAGCUUACUAAGUCAGUACUGACGCUGAGGCACGAAAGCGUGGGGAGCGAACAGG
rnacentral:rRNA from 1 species